rnacentral:rRNA from 1 species
UGGUGGAGUGAUUUGUCUGGUUAAUUCCGUUAACGAACGAGACCUCAGCCUGCUAAUUAGUCGAGCCAAUGUUUCAUUGGUCGCGGCUUCUUAGAGGGACUAUGCGUCCAAGCACAUGGAAGUUUGAGGCAAUAACA